rnacentral:rRNA from 1 species
AGAGAGCUUGCUUUCUCGAGCGAGUGGCGAACGGGUGAGUAACGCGUGAGGAACCUGCCUUUCAGUGGGGGACAACAGUUGGAAACGACUGCUAAUACCGCAUGACACUUUUGGGAGACAUCUCCUGGAAGUCAAAGCUUUAUGUGCUGAAAGAUGGCCUCGCGUCCGAUUAGCUAGUUGGUGAGGUAACGGCCCACCAAGGCGACGAUCAGUAGCCGGCCUGAGAGGGUGAACGGCCACAUUGGGACUGAGACACGGCCCAAACUCC